CGGGGCGGAGCCGCGCAUGCGCACUCGGGCGGGCCCGCCCCCCUCAUGGCCGCCCCUCAGCGCCGGCCGCCCCGCGGGCUCUGCCCGGCUCCUCGGUGUUUGUAGCUCGGCUCCUUUGCGGGAAACGUGCAGAAACACAAAGAUCUGACGUGAAUUCUUGCUGCCUGUAAAUUUGAUAAGGUAGAAGAUGAGUAAACAGAGGAGUGACCCCACAGCAUUGUCAGAGGAGGAAUUCCCAAUUACACAAAGCUCUUCUAAACUACUGGAUUAAUGCAAACACUGACAGGGUGAACAGGGGACAGAGCCUGAUGGAGCCAAACAAAUACAGCAGGAAGGAGAACAAGAAGAUCCAAGACUAGAAAAGUUGUUUUAAAAGCUGUAAUUUAUUAAAUAUACCUCAUAAUGUAGAAUUAAAGUAAUUUUUUUUUGCCUUUGGA